GAUCCUACAAAAGAGGGAAGGGGAAAGAAAGACACAGAAAGGGAGAGUGUAAAUUAAACAGCAUCCAAUUUGGUUGUUUUAGUUCAUCCAUCCAACAGUUGUGAAAGAGGGACGUCAUUUAAGCCUCAUCCAAUACAUUCAAUCAUGCUCCUGUUCUACCCAAGGUUAACGCUGGCGGGGAACUAACCUAACGUAUACAACCAGCUGUGACUGCAUUCUAUCACACAUUUGCCAGCCAGUGGUUCGGAGGAGAACGGUGCGCUAUAAAUAACUCCACACUACUGAAACUACCGCAGCGAACUAAACCCCGUCAACCGGUGGCCUAGACAUACUGACGAUGGUACAGUACAGCGCACCAUCCUCUCACCACGCUGGCACCGAACUCAUCAACAUUAGGCGUCAACAUUAAGUCCCUGGCUGACUCUACAGGCUGCUGCUGCGACUCAUCCACCUCCAGCUGGCAUCUCUUCUUACAUGAACUUGUGCUAACGAAAUGGUAUGCAAGCGGCAUGGGCAUCAUCGUACCGUUCCUUCACACCACAAACCAAGCAUUGCGGACAUCUCCUCUGCUGACUGCUGCUGCCAAAUAAAUGCCAAAAGCAUCUCCCCUUGCGCCCUACGACUACGGGUUUUUGAUUCUCAUCAUUCUGUUCGCUUUGGGUCGACCUGCUGAAUAUUGCAGGUGCCGACAGCAACUCGUUCCGUUUCGGAAAUUCAAUCUCACUACAAUAAUGUGCAGGGGAAGAGUUACGAGUCCGGCUGUCGAACUCCAGGCGAACAAAUUAGUGCAAUCCACGUAGUUGUUAUUAUGUUUGGCAGCCUGAACUUGCUCGUUUUUUCUCAAAGGUUUUUUCUUGAAAUAUUAACAUCAAGAGAACCGCACAACCAAGGAUAAGCAAUUAAAAUCAUUAACCUUCAAGAUGUCAGCUGUCCACCAUUUGGCUGAACGAUCGAAUGUCCUCCUGCUAUUAUCUACUGCUGGUUUCGAAUAAAUUUACCCUUUUUAUAUUUAGAAUGUUUGAAGGUUUUCAAACCGAUUCAAAUGUCAAA